rnacentral:rRNA from 1 species
AACGUAGGAGACAAACGUUAUCCGGAGUUACUGGGCGUAAAGGGCAUGUAGGCGGUCUGUUAAGUCUGGCGUGAAAGCUCUCGGCUAAACCGGGAGAGGUCGUUGGAUACUGGCAGACUAGAGGACGGUAGAGGCGUGUGGAAUUCCGGGUGUAGUGGUGAAAUGCGUAGAGAUCCGGAGGAACACCAGUGGCGAAGGCGACACGCUGGGCCGUACCUGACGCUAAAGCGCGACAGCAUGGGGAGCAAACGGG